GUUGGGAAGUGAAUGUUGAUCUCAAAC
rnacentral:snRNA from 1 species